CUCAUUGUUCCGUCAAUAGUAGCCUAAAAAAGCGUGCAUUACCAAUAAUGGUUUAGUGCGAAGCUCUCUUGACAAUAUGGUUCUAUACAAAAAGAUCCAAUGUAUAGACUGUUAAACUGACCGAUAUGAGU
rnacentral:ncRNA from 2 species